CAUCGACUGCUCGACUGCUUCAGUUUUUUUAAACGACGAAAUAUCAAAUAUGAGCUCGCUGCCUAAACUGAAAGAAUUUGAAUGUGAUGUUUCUCCUCACGACAAAAGUGUUUGCACCUUAAAGCUGACGGUAGAGGGAUCGUCAACUGACGAAGACGGGAAAAAACGCAUCUCUAUAGAUAUGCAUGCAAGUGAAUUAUCAACCACUGUGCAUCUUUUGCAACAAGCCAGAGACCAAAUUGCAACACUUGUGCGAACAAAAAAAUCAUAAAUGAAAUAGAGUAAAUGGCAACCUAACAAAUCAGAUCUCUAUGCAGUGGAUCACAUUUAACCAACAAAGAUGGAUUUCAAUGCUUCUUUCUUGUCUUUCUUGACUGAUGAAAUCCAUUUUCCAAUAAAUUGUUUUUCAAUCUC